rnacentral:rRNA from 1 species
UACUGAUUAAGUUUUCGCAUCAGCGAUUAAAGCGUGCCAACACAAAAGAAGGCUGGCAGUUGGAGAUUGAAAUGCUGAAGAAUGCUCUAGCGGCGGACGGGUGAGUAACGCGUGAGCAAUCUGCCUCAUACAGGGGGAUAACAGGUGGAAACACUCGCUAAUACCGCAUAAGACCACAGCACUGCAUGGUGCAGGGGUCAAGGAGUAAAAUCCGGUAUGAGAUGAGCUCGCGUCCCAUUAGCUAGUUGGCGGGGUAACGGCCCACCAAGGCGACGAUGGGUAGCCGACCUGAGAGGGUGAUCGGCCACACUGGGACUGAGACACGGCCCAGACUCCUACGGGAGGCAGCAGGUGGGGAAUAUUGCGCAAUGGGGGGAACCCUGACGCAGCAACGCCGCGUGAGUGAAGAAGGUCUUCGGAUCGUAAAACUCUGUCAUAGGGGAAGAAGGAGAUGACGGUACCCUAUGAGGAAGCCCCGGCUAACUACGUG